UACGUAGGGUGCGAGCGUUGUCCGGAAUUAUUGGGCGUAAAGAGCUCGUAGGCGGUGUGUCGCGUCGGCCGUGAAAACCUGCAGCUUAACUGUGGGCUUGCGGUGGGUACGGGCAGACUAGAGUGCGGAAGGGGCAAUCGGAAUUCUUGGUGUAGCGGUGAAAUGCGUAGAUAUCAAGAGGAACACCUGAGGUGAAGACGGGUUGCUGGGCCGACACUGACGCUGAGUGCGCGAAAGCCAGGGGAGCAAACGGG
rnacentral:rRNA from 1 species